GACGAACGCUGGCGGCGUGCUUAACACAUGCAAGUCGAACGAUGAAGCCAGCUUGCUGGUGGAUUAGUGGCGAACGGGUGAGUAACACGUGGGUGAUCUGCCCCAAACUUUGGGAUAAGCCUGGGAAACUGGGUCUAAUACCGAAUAUGACCGAUACUCGCAUGGGUGUUGGUGGAAAGCUCCGGCGGUUUGGGAUGGGCCCGUGGCCUAUCAGCUUGUUGGUGGGGUAAUGGCCUACCAAGGCGACGACGGGUAGCCGGCCUGAGAGGGCGACCGGCCACACUGGGACUGAGACACGGCCCAGACUCCUAUGGGAGGCAGCAGUGGGGAAUAUUGCACAAUGGGCGCAAGCCUGAUGCAGCGACGCCGCGUGAGGGAUGACGGCCUUCGGGUUGUAAACCUCUUUCACCAGGGACGAAGCGAAAGUGACGGUACCUGGAGAAGAAGCACCGGCCAACUACGUG
rnacentral:rRNA from 1 species